UGCCGGAAUAGCUCAGUUGGUAGAGCAGAGGACUGAAAAUCCUCGUGUCACAGUUUCAAAUU
rnacentral:tRNA from 1 species